rnacentral:lncRNA from 1 species
CCUCUAACUCUGUCCAGAGUGGCUGCUGGCACCUGAUCAAAGUCACAGAGGAAGGCUCCAGAGGAACCUUCAGUUGAUGGCUUGAAGGAGUUCAAUGAUGGACCCUUGCAUCAAAGUCAUUUCCCUGGAUCCAGGUUAAAGACUCAGUGGAAGGGUGCAGAAGACCCUAAGAUGUUGCUUGAUCUGAACCUGGAAAAGGUAGUAAGGGGAAAACUGUUGACAUUACUCCCUCAAAGAACUCGGCCGGGCCCUGGAGAAGUCCAAGUCCACCCCCUACACUUACAAAGGACUAGAACAGUCGAAUUGUAAGACUUUCUGGUUGCACCACAAACUCCUGCACAUUUGUUCGAUAACAGCCUGAGAAACAUGGCUGCCUUCCCCUAAACACCCAUGAUCUCCUUUAUGGCAAUGGGGAAAAAAAACCAAACAGGAAGUGAAUCCUUCAUCCACUGAUGUUGUGACUAAAUUACCUUGGUUCCUUUAUGCCACAAGGGUCCAAUGGUCCCCAAUCUGAAGCCCCAGCCCUACUACCCACAUCUCUCUUUGAGCCAAGCCAGAUCUGGCUAUGGUACUGAGGGAGCCAUGCGAGGCCACCAAGGGAAGAGGACCUUGUGGCACCGGGAUGGUGUCUUCCCAGUUUUGUACCUCAGAAUCGUGACUUCUGUUCUCGUCCUAUUUGUGUUUGCUUUUUGGGUUAUGAUCUCUACAGAACUAUACCCAAAUGGGCUCAAUUAGGGACCUCUUUCCCUGGCAUUUUGGCAUAUAGCCAUUUUUCUUUAUUAUAUUUACUGUAUUUUUCCUCCAUCUUAAAAAAA